GGACUCGUGGCUCAACUGGAUAGAGCACCGGUCUACGGAACCGGGGGUUAGAGGUUCGAAUCCUCUCGAGUCCGCCA
rnacentral:tRNA from 1 species